CAGCAGCCGCGGUAAUACGAGGGGGGCAAGCGUUGUUCGGAAUUAUUGGGCGUAAAGGGCGCGUAGGCGGUUUGGCAAGUUUGGUGUGAAAUCUUCGGGCUCAACUCGAAGUCUGCACCGAAAACUGCCGGGCUUGAGUAUGGGAGAGGUGAGUGGAAUUUCCGGUGUAGCGGUGAAAUGCGUAGAUAUCGGAAGGAACACCUGUGGCGAAAGCGGCUCACUGGACCAUUACUGACGCUGAGGCGCGAAAGCUAGGGGAGCAAACAGGAUUAGAUACCCCCGUAGUCCCUGUCUCUUAUAU
rnacentral:rRNA from 1 species